AGUUCCUGACAGUACAUGAUCACUUGAGGUGGUGGGAGGGAGAGCCACAGGAGCCAGCCGUGCCACAAAGGAUCCACAGAGCCCCUCAGCAUCAGCAGGGCUGUCCCUAUCCUCUGCAGGUACAUAUGCCUUGCACAUUAAGGAGACAAGUUCCCCGGCUCAGGAAAAUGCCCCAGGACUGCACAAAGACCCCGUGUCAGGCCCGAGGGAUACAGCCGGGAGCUGAUAGAGACCUGCCUCUGUGGAGCUCACCAUCGCUACCUUCUGCAUUCAGACACGACAUCCCUUUAUAGGGAGACGCCCCGAGCGAGCUGAGCCAGCCGAGCCGGGAGUGGCAAACGGGAGCCCGAACGCGAGGACGCCUGAGCGCGCGCCGGAGCAGGCGCUGGAGCCCGGGCCGGAGCCGCGCGGGGCUCUGCGUGCCAAGCGGCGGGAACGCGAACCCGCGUGGGCGCUCGGCCAGGACCAGGACCUGGGCCCGGGUCCGGGCCUGACGCGAGGUGGGGCGACAGCGGGGCUCUUGAGCGCCUAGGGACUAGGUAGGGGCGGGGAAGUAGGAGCAGCGCCACCCCCCCCCUCCCCUCCCGGGCCGGCCCCGAGUUAGCCUCACCCACCAGAGGUCAGAGAACUUGAACGGAUUAUACAGCUGACCCCUGCACCCCCACCCUUACCCCCGUUAUAUAAUUCAGCGCUACACCCUACAAUAAAUGUCAGCAAGUUUUUAUUUUCCCCAUGAUAACUGCUUUGAUGCUUUUUUUGACAUCUCAAAUAUC